rnacentral:rRNA from 1 species
CUACGGAGGAUGCAAGCGUUAUCCGGAUUUAUUGGGUUUAAAGGGUGCGUAGGCGGUUUGCUAAGCGGGAGGUGAAAUGCCGGCGCUCAACGUCGGAAGUGCCUCCCGAACUGGUGGACUUGAAUGACUCUGCCGUGGGAGGAAUGUGUAGGGUAGCGGUGAAAUGCUUAGAGAUUACACAGAACACCGAUUGCGAAGGCAUCUCACGAAGGGUUGAUUGACGCUGAGGCACGAAAGCGUGGGGAUCAAACAGGAUUAGAUACCCUGGUAGUCCACGCAGUAAACGAUGAUGGCUAACCGCUGGGCUUAUCAGUUCAGUGGCCAAGCGAAAGCGAUAAGCCAUCCACCUGGGGAGUACGACCGCAAGGUUGAAACUCAAAUGAAUUGACGGGG